AGUGAAUAGAUACCCGGGUAGUCCACGCCGUAAACGAUGAGUGCUAGGUGCUGUGGGUAUUGACCCCCGCGGUGCCGAAAGCUAAACGACAUUAAGCACUCCGCCUGGGAAGUACGGUCGCAAGACUAAAACUACAAGGAAUUGACGGGGGCCCGGCACAAGCGGUGGAGCGUGUGGUUUAAAUUCGACGCAACGCGCAGAACCUUACCUGGGCUGGAAAGUGCUUCGAAGUCUGGUGAAAGCCGGAUGUGCCCGCAAGGGAGCGGAGUGACAGGUGCUGCAUGGCUGUCGUCAGCUCGUGUCGUGAGAUGUUGGGUUAAAGUCCCGCAACGAGCGCAACCCCGUAUCGUUAGUUGCCAUCAGUUCGGCUGGGCACUCUAACGAGACUGCCGGCGUCAAGCCGGAGGAA
rnacentral:rRNA from 1 species